rnacentral:rRNA from 1 species
AUUGAACGCUGGCGGCAUGCCUUACACAUGCAAGUCGAACGGCAGCACGGGUGCUUGCACCUGGUGGCGAGUGGCGAACGGGUGAGUAAUACAUCGGAACGUACCUUAUCGUGGGGGAUAACGCAGCGAAAGUUGCGCUAAUACCGCAUACGCCCUGAGGGGGAACGCGGGGGACCGUAAGGCCUCGCGCGAUUAGAGCGGCCGAUGUCUGAUUAGCUAGUUGGCGGGGUAAUAGCCCACCAAGGCGACGAUCAGUAGCUGGUCUGAGAGGACGAUAAGCCACACUGGGACUGAGAAACGGCCCAGACUCCUACGGGGGGAGGCAGUGGGGAAUUUUGGACAAUGGGGGCAACACUGAUCCAGCAAUGCCGCGUGUGCGAAGAAGGCCUUCGGGUUGUAAAGCACUUUUGUCAGGGAAGGAAUCUUUCAGGCUAAUACCCUGGAAGGAUGACGGUACCUGAAGAAUAAGCACCGGCUAACUACGUGCCAGCAGCCGCGGUAA